UACGAAGGGGGCUAGCGUUGUUCGGAUUUACUGGGCGUAAAGCGCGCGUAGGCGGCUUUGCAAGUCGGGUGUGAAAUCCCCAGGCUUAACCUGGGAACUGCAUUCGAGACUGCAUUGCUAGAGUAUGGGAGAGGGAAGUGGAAUUUCCGGUGUAGCGGUGAAAUGCGUAGAUAUCGGAAGGAACAUCAGUGGCGAAAGCGACUUCCUGGACCAAUACUGACGCUCAUGUGCGAAAGCGUGGGGAGCAAACAGG
rnacentral:rRNA from 1 species